rnacentral:lncRNA from 1 species
UUUUGGUGGUAACAUUAUUGUUUGUUUAUUUUCUAGCCUUUAUCUUUUUUUGUUGAGCAUUUCAUUUUGUUGUUAUUAUAUGCCUUGGUAACUUAACUGAUACAGAUACAUAUUGAAAAGGGGAAUUGCCUAUACACGAACACACCCUUGAAAACAUUUCCCAAGCAUUCACUAAAAACCCAUUCGUGCUAUUUUUAUUAAAUCAAAUACAAAAAAAUAGACGGUUGUUCUAUUUUAUGUAACUUAUUUUGAACAGGAUUUUACAGAAACACUUAUAAAAUU